AACGGCCGCGGUAUCCUAACCGUGCAAAGGUAGCAUAAUCACUUGCCUAUUAAUUGUAGGCUAGAAUGAAUGGGUUAACGAAAUAAAGACUGUCUCAAUUAAUCACCUAAAAAUUAAUAUCUAUCUGAAGAAGGGUAGAUAAUCUCGAAGGACAAGAAGACCCUAUAGAGCUUAAUUUUAAUUAUAGGACUACACUAUAAAAAUAUUCGGUUGGGGCGACCCAGGGCUAAUCAAUCACCCACUACAUAAAAGAUAAAUUAAUCAAGUAAUUGACCCCUAAAAGAUCAUAAAAACAAGCUACCUUAGGGAUAACAGGCUAAUCCCACUCAAGAGUCCUUAUCAACAGUGGGGUUUGGCACCUCGAUGUUGGCUUAGG
rnacentral:rRNA from 1 species